CCCUGGCCCUAGUGUGCGCCACUGCCACCCCGGAGCCGCUCCAGUGCCUACUCGUGACUCUAAGCAGUUCAAAUAACUAAGAACAAACAAUAUUUCAGACAAGAUGUAACACCUGCAACCACUGCCUGUCAUGAACAUGAAACCCCUGGUGACCUUCCAGCCCCUCAGCUCAUCCAAGUGAGUGCCCAGGUGGUUAACAAAUCCUUACUGUGGCAGACCAAGUGUGGCUAUAUGCAGAAGCACUGAAGGGCUCAAAUCUGGAUGGGGAGGAACAAAGAUCGUCAACAUGGAAUAUUUCAGUUCUUCAUGUGAGAUCAGCGACUCUAACACUGGCAUACUUGAGGUCUUUAAACCAUGAUUUGAGGACUUCAGUAACUCAGACGUAGGGUUUACCGUUACCUGAUUUGAGAAGCCUCGAUUAACUUCAGACUCCUCCACAGAACCUGUCUGCCUUAGUCUGUCACCCUAUAGCAGUGGUCUCCAAAGUGGGGUGCGCAAGACGAUCCAUUGGGGAGCAUGGCAGGAGGAGUGCUGCUAGACAGGGAAAAAAGGGGCAGCUAGAGGAGGGAGGGAGCGAGCAGGGAAGCACAGUGCUUUAGGGGCUGCAGGGCCCUCAGAGAAGGGGACCCCGGGGCCCUUGCCUGCAGCUCUAAAGCCCCUUUUGGAAUGCAGGGCAGCCGUGCAGCCAGUUGCUGGAAAGAAGCGGCGCCUUCCACUUCAAAGUCGGCUGGAGAGAAGCGGCGCUUUGAAGAGGGGAGUGCUGCUUCUCUCCAGCCGCUGGCUGCGCGGCUGCCCCUGCUCCUCCUGAGUCCUCCAGCCCAUGUUCACAGGGCUGCAUUCUGAAAGAGGCUUUAGAGCUGAAGGCCAAGGCCAAGGCCCUGGGGCCCCCAUAGUCCAGGGCCCUGCAGCCCCUAAAGCCCCUGCCUGCCGGGGAAGUGCGAGGGGCAGCUCCCAGAAUCGUGGCCAUGGGGGCAGUGCUGAGCUGCACAGAGCCACCUGCACACCCCCUGCACCAAAGAGGAGCUGUCCCAGGCUCUUCUCUACAGCAACACAAGUUUUGCAAUCUUUUGGAGACAGCAUUCUCAAAACCAACAGCUUGCCCAUUGUCCUUCUGCACAGGUGGUAAAUAGGGCAUGAGGAAGACAGAGAGGAGAGAUACUGGUGCCAAUGAAAAAACAAUAGCCUUCACAAGAACUGUGCAAGACACCAUGCAAACCUUUUCCACAAGAUCCUGCCAAUGCAGCUUCACACUGAAACAGCAGCAGCCCCUGGGUUUCCAGCGUCUGGCUUCUUAUAUAUGUGCCAUCAGCACCACAUUCCCAGCCCUAUCUUUGGGUUGUGAUGACACAAAGGCAUCCUCCAGCAAUGGCAUUUAUCUUCCUUUUAAAAAA